GUGUUCACUUCUGCAGCACAUAUACUAAAAUUGGAACAAUACAGAGAAGAUUAACAUGGCCCCUGCACAAGAAUAACAUGGAAAUUCGUGAACUAUUCCAUAUUUUU
ensembl:snRNA U6 U6 spliceosomal RNA